CAUGAAUGUAAGAUACACAUUCAACGAACUAUGGGUGACAUAAACACACUUCAAAUGAUAAUGAUUAACAUCCUCGUUACGGAAUAAAUUCAGCCUUGUCCGAUCCCAACAACAGUACAUAAACUUUUUUUUUUUUUCUUCCCCAACAAGAACCGUUGACAGUUUGUUUAAAGUGGUGCUCUCCAAAAACAUGGACAUACCGUAUUUAACGACAUUAGUAGCAUUACAAACGCGUGUGCUGUACUAGUGGCUGUUGUGAUCUGAUGGAUGGCGGACUUGCUAUGUAGACUACAUAGUAAACAGACUAAUGUAGUCUCUUUCGGGUUUAUGCUAAAAUUUGGAUGUUAUACUACAUGAUGAUUAUAGUAGUUGUGUUAUGAAGUAAUGUUGAAUUGGAGUGCAUUAUCUUGAGGUGUCAUACAUACAUAAAUGCAUAGAAAAAAAGUUUUUAAUUUUCGGUUGCACAUGAUUAAAAUGUAGUAAACUGAUGUAAUUAUCCCCUCUUUUCCUUUAAAAUAAGCAAAUAAUAUAGUUAGUUUAACACAAUUUAAUCAUGUGCAACCAAAGUACAUGUUCAAAGUAAGUACAUUCAGUUUUUUACAGUGUACAUACAGUACACAUGUACAUCCAUACAGGUUAGAAAACUUGACCAAUAAUUUUCUUGUUUGACCUUAUUGGUCUUUUCUCUCUAGGGAAACCAGAUACUACAGGUAAGACUGCAUUAAUAAAGUAACUUGACCUGGGCCUUGACUUAACUCGCCCAAGAUGAAUAGACACAGAUAUACACGAUAUAUUCGAAUUGGGUACGAUACCUGCAGUGUAAAUUCUGCCUAAGCACAGAUACUUCUAAAUAGUAGCAGUCACAGGGCUUAUUUUGAUAUAACACGAAAAGCACACAACUCUUUCUGUCAACAUCGACUUAAUUGCUACCUGGAGUGAGUAUCACGGCCACAAUAAUUCAUCAUCAGUGUAGGAAUUUGUCACAAUCAUCUUUAAUGAAACUGGCACUAAUCAGUGUCCCCCAUCUAUGCUGGCAAGUACUUCCAUUGAUUAGAUUCUGAUGAGGUUGAGGGGGCCAUAGGGUGACACUAAAAUGGGAUUUGUGGGUAUUUUCAGAAAGAGACUGAUUUGUUUACCCCCACUGAGUAAGUCAAAAUCUUUCAAAAUAGGUUAGUCUGCAAAUGGUAUGAUACAGCUAACUGUGGGUUGUAUUGCCAUUCGAUCAUUUAAAGCAGCCAGAAUUCAGAGAAGUAAAACAUGUCACGAUCCAUGCCCUGCAGUUCCUCUUUUGGAGCUUGGGUGGCGCCGUGUGCCUUGUCUCUCCCUCUCCCCCUCUGUCUCCCUAGCAAUCAGCAGCACCUAUGCACCACACCUCUCUUCAAGCAGCACUGAUUACUACCUGCAUUUAAAGCCUGUCCAGUUCUACAGCCUUCGCCUGAGUAUUGACGUAUGUUUCGGACUCACCGGCCGACUGUCGUAAUCCCAGGUUUUUGUGAUACGAUUGUAUGAUCCUACAACCCGCAUCUGUACUCAUCCGAUUGUGUUCUUCCCGUCUCCAGUGUUCCUUCCGUGCCUUCCCCGUCUCGCUGACCUCUCCAGCCACGCUGCCAAAGCCAUGCUACUGCGCUUUGGCAUAAUUCCUCCCCGGUAAUCACCUCAGGAGACUCUUUUAUGGCAGAACUCAAAAAAGUUUUGAUCACCCCGUUAAGGGUAGGGAAGGCACUCGGCGUCUCCAAGCUCUCACCCAAGGUUCGAGUUCCGUGGCUUCCUACUCCAUCGGUUUACGGCUACUCGUGAGUGAAUGCGGGUGGGACGACGCAGCGUUAAGGGGAACGUUUUUGUCCGAACAACUUAAGGACUCGCUCCCGACCAGGGACGAACACACCUCCCUCGAGAACCUGAUUGCAUUAGCCAUUAAACUUGCCAGCCGCCUCCGAGAGAGAGAGAGCGAGCGGCGAGUUAAGACACAUAGCUUCGCUCCACUGACCAUGGCUGCCCCCCCCCCCCCCCCCCCCUCCAACGACUCCGCCACACACUGAACCCCCUGUUGCCUCCUCUUCACCCCCCACUCGACCAGAAGAACCUAUGGAACUAGGCAGGACCCGGUUAGACCCUCAGGAACGACAGCGCCGCUUUACUCAGCGACUUUGCAUCUAUUGUGGACACCCUGGCCACUUCAUUUCCACCUGCACUCUCAAACCAAAAGACUGGGCUCACCACGACCUGAGAGCAUCGUGGUGAGCCAAACCAACACCUCCCAAAGCUCUGCCUCCCGAAUGACUGUUCCUGCAUGACAUUUUUUGUAGCAGCAACAAACCAGACUGUGAUGGAAGAACACAGGACUGAUUCGAUGACCGCUGUGUAGAACUGCCUCAGCAGCUCUUGUGGCAGGCCGUGCUUUCUCAGACGCCGCAGGAAGUACAUACUCUGCUGGGCCUUUUUGAGGACGGAGUUGAUAUUGAUCGCCCGCUUCAGGUCCUGAGAGACUGUAAUUCCCAGGAACUUGAAGGUCUCGACGGUUGAGUCCACAAUCAGUCUUAAGCGUGUUCAGCUCCAGGUUUUGUCGGCCGCACCACAGCUCCAGCCGCUCCACUGAAGUUCCAUCUUUGCUUCAUUGGUCCACUUUUUCACUAUUUUCACUGUAGGCUUCGCGCAUUUAAGUUAUUGCCUGUAUGUCGGUAUUAAGUGAAUUAAGCAGUGAUCAGACGAGCUUAGUGCUGCACGAGGUUUGGCACGGUAUGCGUUAUUUAGCGUAGUAUAGCAGUGGUCCAAAAUGUUAUUUGCCCUGGUAGGACAGUCGAUGUGCUGCUUGUAUUUAGGGAGUUCGUGGUUGAGUUUAGCUUUGUUAAAGUCCCCGAGAAUAAUGAGGGGUGAGUCCAGGUGUUUUUUUCCAAUUUCGUUUACUUGUUUGGCGAUCAUUAGCAGUGCGGCGUUUGUGUUAGCUUGAAGCGGAAUGUCGACACCAGCGAGAAUGAAUGAUGUGAACUCACGAGGCGAGUAGAAUGGCUUACAGUUAAAACACAGCGACUCUAAAUGUGGGCUGCAGUGUAUGCUGAGCUCCGUGAUGUCCGUACACCAUUUUUCUUUGAUUUUGAAGCAUAUCCCGCCGCCUUUUGUUUUCCCCGAUGAUCCCAUGUCGCGGUCUGCCCUGUGAAGAUGGAAGCCGGGAAGCAUGACGGCGCCAUCACAAAGCCAAGUCUCCAUAAAGCACGUGGUCGUGGCAGAACGUCUGAAGUCUUUACUGGUGUUUAUCAGGAGAUGAAGCUUGUUCAUUUUGUUGGGUAGGGAGCGUAGAUUCGCGAGGUGGGUGGACGGAAACGCCAGUCUGUAUCCUCUCUUACGGAGCUUCACCUGGAUGCCAGCUCGCUUCCCUCUGUGGCGCCGCCUCUGCCUCCAUGCACCAAAGACUGUGGUCGCUGCUCCGGUGAGUCGUGUAAUGUCUCCAAAGAUGAACGAAAUACACAACAACAAAAACCUCCCAACCGACUGUUCGUACCCAAUUCUGCACACUCUGACGUCCUUCAGUGGGUCCACAACUCCAAGCUUACCUGUCAUCUCGGCAUUAUCCGCACCAUCCAUUUUAUCCAGCAACACUUCUGGUGGCCCAGUCUAGCCAAGGACACCCGUGAGUUUGUCCUAGACUGCUCCAUCUGUGCCCGAGGUAAGGUUCAUCAACCCCGCAGCUGGACUGCUGUGCCCCUGCUGUGCCCCUUACCCAUUCCGAGCGGUUUCCCUGGACUUUGUCACCGGCCUACUUCCAUCUGAAGGUAACACCGUCAUCCUCACUCUUAUUGACCGCUUCUCCAAGUAUGUUCACUAUGUACCUCUUCCCAAAUUGCCCUCUGCUUUUGAGACUACUAUCCUUCUUGUCCUCCACGUGUUCUGUUGACAUUGUAUCGGACCGAGGUCCUCAGUUCUCAUCCCAGGUCUGGAAAGAGUUCUGUAAGGCAGUGGGCGCAGCAGCCAGUUUGUCUUCCGGCUACCACCCCCAAACCAACGGCCGGACGGAGCGAGCAAAUCAAAACCUGGAAUCCGCUCUUCGCUGCGUCACUGCUCGCCAUCCUGCCUCCUGGUGCACCUUCCUCCCGUGGCUUGAAUAUGCCCACAACUCCCUCACCGCCACAGGUAUGUCCCCUUUCAUGGCAUGUUACAGUUUCCAACCUCUUUUAUUGAAGAACCAGGAGCAUUAUGUGGCGGUUCCCACGGUGAGGGAGCAUCUCCAACGUGUCCAGUCAGUGUGGAAGGACGUCAGGGCUGCUUUAACUCGGUUGGCGGAGAAGAAUAAGUAGCUGGGGGAUCUCCAUCGCUCCCCUACAUCUGCAUACAAGGUGGGUCAGAUAGGGUGUGGCUCUCGUCCCGGGACCUCCCUCUCCAAACCGAGUCACGUAAGAUUGCGCCGCGCUUCACUGGACCUUUUCCUGUCACCAAGUCAUCAAUCCACCUGUGUACAGUUGAAGCUGCCCCAGUCUCUCCAGAUCCAUCCCACGUUUCAUGUGUCCCAGCUCAAGCCUGUCUCUACCAGUGCUCUUAACCCUCCAGUCGUACCCCCUCCUCUGUGUCCUCGACAACCAUCCGGCCUUCACGGUAUCACGCAUCCUGGAUUGUUCCUACCGUGACUUCCCCGUCUCGCUGACCGCUCCAGCCACGCCGCCAAGCCACACCACCUGCUCAUGUUCCCGCUUCCUGCUCGCUUCCUUGUUCCCGACGGCCCGCCACCUCGCCGUGGAUAUCCUUACCCUGUGCCAACCUACAAUGAACCAUUCUCAAUCUACUCCCUCCGCCUCAGUCUGCUCUUGCUCCAAUUCACAUCCUACUACGCUCCGUGACAAAACAUUUGAAAUGAAAAAGUACUGCAUACUGAAAAACAUAUUUUUAAAAUUUGAAAUAGAAACAAACUUGAACGACACUGUUUAGAGAAGCUAUUUUUAGCCCCAUACAAAUUCAUCAUCCAAACCAGCUUUUUUCUGCUUUUAUCAGCUCUGUGUUCUGUGUGUAAGGUAUUGAUGCAGGAUGGGGGUUGAGGUUCACCCAGAAUUUUGGUUUCCGAGGCAGUAUCAGACGAUACCUGUGCGGCAAUUUACGGGAAUGCAGUGUCCUACCCAUGCGCUGAUCCUGUUCCACUAGAAACGCCCUAGCAGUUUUAAAACACUGACAACAGAGACAAACUAAAGGGGGUGGAACUGUAACCUUGUUGACAGUAAUAAUGAAUGGGAACCUAAGAUGUUGCUUUCAUUUAAUGACAACAAUACGUAGCCUACAGACCAUUUUGUUGUAUUCACUGUUACUUUUUCCCCCCCCCCAAAAAAAAAAAAAAAAAUAAUAAUAAUAAAGUCCUUUCAAUAAGUGUAUCUUUUAUGGAACAACAAUACGUAGCCUACAGACCAUUUUGUUGUAUUCACUGUUAC